UACGUAGGGUGCAAGCGUUAAUCGGAAUUACUGGGCGUAAAGCGUGCGCAGGCGGUUUUGUAAGUCUGUCGUGAAAUCCCCGGGCUCAACCUGGGAAUUGCGAUGGAGACUGCAAGGCUGGAGUCUGGCAGAGGGGGGUAGAAUUCCACGUGUAGCAGUGAAAUGCGUAGAGAUGUGGAGGAACACCGAUGGCGAAGGCAGCCCCCUGGGUCAAGACUGACGCUCAUGCACGAGAGCGUGGGGAGCAAACAGG
rnacentral:rRNA from 1 species